rnacentral:rRNA from 1 species
GAUGAACGCUGGCGGCGUGCCUAAUACAUGCAAGUCGAGCGAACAGACGAGGAGCUUGCUCCUUUGACGUUAGCGGCGGACGGGUGAGUAACACGUGGAUAACCUACCUAUAAGACUGGGAUAACUUCGGGAAACCGGAGCUAAUACCGGAUAACAUGUUGAACCGCAUGGUUCAACAGUGAAAGACGGUCUUGCUGUCACUUAUAGAUGGAUCCGCGCCGCAUUAGCUAGUUGGUAAGGUAACGGCUUACCAAGGCAACGAUGCGUAGCCGACCUGAGAGGGUGAUCGGCCACACUGGAACUGAGACACGGUCCAGACUCCUACGGGAGGCAGCAGUAGGGAAUCUUCCGCAAUGGGCGAAAGCCUGACGGAGCAACGCCGCGUGAGUGAAGAAGGUCUUCGGAUCGUAAAACUCUGUUAUUAGGGAAGAACAAAUGUGUAAGUAACUAUGCACGUCUUGACGGUACCUAAUCAGAAGGCCACGGCUAACUACGUG